rnacentral:misc_RNA from 1 species
AAGUCGUAACAAGGUCUCCGUUGGUGAACCAGCGGAGGGAUCAUUACUGAGUUUACGCUCCAUAACCCUUCUGUGAACCUACCCAUCGUUGCUUCGGCGGGGAACGCCCCGGCUCCUCGUGAGCCCGGACCCAGGCGCCCGCCGGAGGCCCCAAACUCUUCUGUAUUUCUCACCCAUAGCGGUGUUUCUUCUGAGUGGCAAACGCAAAAAAUAAAUCAAAACUUUUAACAACGGAUCUCUUGGCUCUG